rnacentral:rRNA from 1 species
GUAGGGAAUCUUCGGCAAUGGGGGCAACCCUGACCGAGCAACGCCGCGUGAGUGAAGAAGGUUUUCGGAUCGUAAAGCUCUGUUGUAAGUCAAGAACGAGUGUGAGAGUGGAAAGUUCACACUGUGACGGUAGCUUACCAGAAAGGGACGGCUAACUACGUGCCAGCAGCCGCGGUAAUACGUAGGUCCCGAGCGUUGUCCGGAUUUAUUGGGCGUAAAGCGAGCGCAGGCGGUUUGAUAAGUCUGAAGUUAAAGGCUGUGGCUCAACCAUAGUUCGCUUUGGAAACUGUCAAACUUGAGUGCAGAAGGGGAGAGUGGAAUUCCAUGUGUAGCGGUGAAAUGCGUAGAUAUAUGGAGGAACACCGGUGGCGAAAGCGGCUCUCUGGUCUGUAACUGACGCUGAGGCUCGAAAGCGUGGGGAGCGAACAGG